rnacentral:rRNA from 1 species
CAAUAGCGUAUAUUAAAGUUGUUGCAGUUAAAAAGCUCGUAGUUGGAUUUCUGGUGGGAGCGAUCGGUCUGGCGCUUAGCGCGAGUACUUGCAUCGUCUCCGGCCAUCCUUGGGGAGAGUCUGUCUGGCAUUAAGUUGUCGGGCAGAGGAUCCUCAUCGUUUACUGUGAAAAAAUUAGAGUGUUCAAAGCAGGCUUAUGUCGUUGAAUAUAUUAGCAUGGAAUAAUAAGAUAGGACUUUGGUACUAUUUUGUUGGUUUGCGCACCAAAGUAAUGAUUAAUAGGGACAGUUGGGGGUAUUCGUAUUCCGUUGUCAGAGGUGAAAUUCUUGGAUUUACGGAAGACGAACUACUGCGAAAGCAUUUACCAAGGAUGUUUUCAUUAA